AUCAUGGCUCAGGGACGAAACGCUGGCGGCGUGCCUAAUACAUGCAAGUAGAACGCUGAAGAGAGGAGCUUCGCUCUUCUUGGAUUGAGUUUGCGAACGGGUGAGUAACGCGUAGGUAACCUGCCUUGUAGCGGGGGAUAACUAUUGGAAACGAUAGCUAAUACCGCAUAACAAUAGGUGACACAUGUCAUUUAUUUGAAAGGGGCAAUUGCUCCACUACAAGAUGGACCUGCGUUGUAUUAGCUAGUAGGUGAGGUAACGGCUCACCUAGGCGACGAUACAUAGCCGACCUGAGAGGGUGAUCGGCCACACUGGGACUGAGACACGGCCCAGACUCCUACGGGAGGCAGCAGUAGGGAAUCUUCGGCAAUGGGGGCAACCCUGACCGAGCAACGCCGCGUGAGUGAAGAAGGUUUUCGGAUCGUAAAGCUCUGUUGUAAGUCAAGAACGAGUGUGAGAGUGGAAAGUUCACACUGUGACGGUAGCUUACCAGAAAGGGACGGCUAACUACGUGCCAGCAGCCGCGGUAAUACGUAGGUCCCGAGCGUUGUCCGGAUUUAUUGGGCGUAAAGCGAGCGCAGGCGGUUUGAUAAGUCUGAAGUUAAAGGCUGUGGCUCAACCAUAGUUCGCUUUGGAAACUGUCAAACUUGAGUGCAGAAGGGGAGAGUGGAAUUCCAUGUGUAGCGGUGAAAUGCGUAGAUAUAUGGAGGAACACCGGUGGCGAAAGCGGCUCUCUGGUCUGUAACUGACGCUGAGGCUCGAAAGCGUGGGGAGCGAACAGGAUUAGAUACCCUGGUAGUCCACGCCGUAAACGAUGAGUGCUAGGUGUUGGAUCCUUUCCGGGAUUCAGUGCCGCAGCUAACGCAUUAAGCACUCCGCCUGGGGAGUACGACCGCAAGGUUGAAACUCAAAGGAAUUGACGGGGGCCCGCACAAGCGGUGGAGCAUGUGGUUUAAUUCGAAGCAACGCGAAGAACCUUACCAGGUCUUGACAUCCCGAUGCUAUUUCUAGAGAUAGAAAGUUACUUCGGUACAUCGGUGACAGGUGGUGCAUGGUUGUCGUCAGCUCGUGUCGUGAGAUGUUGGGUUAAGUCCCGCAACGAGCGCAACCCCUAUUGUUAGUUGCCAUCAUUCAGUUGGGCACUCUAGCGAGACUGCCGGUAAUAAACCGGAGGAAGGUGGGGAUGACGUCAAAUCAUCAUGCCCCUUAUGACCUGGGCUACACACGUGCUACAAUGGUUGGUACAACGAGUUGCGAGUCGGUGACGGCAAGCUAAUCUCUUAAAGCCAAUCUCAGUUCGGAUUGUAGGCUGCAACUCGCCUACAUGAAGUCGGAAUCGCUAGUAAUCGCGGAUCAGCACGCCGCGGUGAAUACGUUCCCGGGCCUUGUACACACCGCCCGUC
rnacentral:rRNA from 1 species